UUAAGCAUAUCAAUAAGCGGAGGAAAAGAAACUAACAAGGAUUCCCUUAGUAACGGCGAGUGAACCGGGAAAAGCUCAAAUUUGUAAUCUGGCUGUCUUCGAUAGUCCGAGUUGUAAUCUAUAGACGUGUUUUCCGUGCUGGACCGUAUCUAAGUCCCUUGGAACAGGGUAUCAAAGAGGGUGACAAUCCCGUGCUUGAUACGACCACCAGUGCUCUGUGAUACACGCUCUACGAGUCGAGUUGUUUGGGAAUGCAGCUCAAAAUGGGUGGUAAAUUCCAUCUAAAGCUAAAUAUUGGCGAGAGACCGAUAGCGAACAAGUACCGUGAGGGAAAGAUGAAAAGCACUUUGGAAAGAGAGUUAAACAGUACGUGAAAUUGUUGAAAGGGAAACGAUUGAAGUCAGUCGUGUUCUUUGGAUUCAGCUAGUUCUUCUAGUCUACUUCCUUUGAACGGGUCAACAUCAGUUUUGUCCGGUGGAUAAAGAUAGUAGGAAUGUAGCUCCCUCGGGAGUGUUAUAGACUAUUAUUGCAUGCACUGGGUGAGACUGAGGACUGCAGCUCGCCUUUUGGCCGACCUUCGGGUACGUUCGAGCUUAGGAUGUUGACAUAAUGGCUUUAAACGACCCGUCU
rnacentral:rRNA from 1 species